CAUAGGACGCCGAUGGAGCCGGGACUGCGGUUGCCGUCAUGCUGCGCGGGCCGUGGGAGUCCCGUCAGAGCCGGGACUGUCGCCUAAGCACCGUCCCAGCUGCUCCCGAGUGCUUCCCUGAACCGUAAGUGCGCCCCGGGGUUCCGUAAGUAGCCCCACUUUCCCUCUCAUGACCCUCAAGUGCCUCUCAGGGUCCCGAAGUCCGUCCGCCCCCCCUCCCCUACUUGCCCCCAAAAUGCUCCCUGUGUGUCCCCUCGGAUCCCCAAGUGCUCUCCAACUGCCUCCCCGCCCCCUAAGCACCCCUCCAGACCCUUUAAUGAUCCCUCAAGCACCCCCCAGCUGGCCUCCAAGCGCCCCUCGAGUGUCUCCUGGGAAUUGGCGUGAUGACGACAAUGUAGAGAAAGACCCUGACUAUCGCAGUAUCAGUAACAGUUCAGCCUUUAAUUAAAAUUUGAAUCAAAAUUGCGAUUGCCGAUGUGGAGGAUGGACAUGCCCGCGCACCUUUUCAUGGCACUCCCGUGGUCCCUCUUGGAGCCAGGGAAAUUCCAGGGGAUGUCCCCAGGGUUUCCACACUGCAGUAGCUAAUGCUGGCUGACAGCAGCAGUGGGAUCGGCCACCUGCCUGCCGGCAUCUUCAAGAACCUGAGCCAACUACGCAGCCUGAACCUGGAGAGUGCAGGACUGUGCAGCCUUGGCCCUGAGGUCUUCCACAAGCUGACACGACUGAAGGAGCUGCGCCUGGCCAAGACGAGCUGAGCACAUUGGAUGUGACUCCGGCCAUGGAAUUGCUGCUUUAAUGUGUUUUACUUUCCGUAAGUUGUCUGGGCUUUGUUACACAAGUGGUCAGUGUUUCACCUUUUACAAAUAAAGAGAUUAUGAUGAUGCUACUUAUUAAUCUCCCUUGGAGCACAUCGGCAAGGCAGAUACUCUGCUCUCAAGACUAACUUGUGCAGAAUUUACCCUUCCCUUGUACAUAGUUUUCCUUUGCUGGUCUAUUCCCAGUGAACAUCACCAAAUCCCACAAGACCAGUCCUGACUGCACCAAACUAAAAUCAAACUGUCAAUGCUAUUUUUCUCAAGGAUUUCAAGGUUUAUAAAUCCCCUGUUCUGAAGUGACAUGAGGUAUGGCAGGCAAGACCUAAAGGGUUUAGGGAGAAAAGCAGCAUUUUUUGUGUGUUUUUUUAUGGAAAUAUUUUCACUCAGACAUGGUAGGCUGUCCCUGCUGCUGCAAGGUUUGGGGAGGGAAUUUGGGGACAUCUGGCAGGUCCUGACAUCUCAUUUUUCCUUAAGAGAGGAUUCUGAAAUGGCAAAGGAAAAGUAUCAGGAAACUUUAGAUGCUGAGGAAAACUACCCAAAUAAUGGUUGCUGAGGUGUUGUUUGUGUUUUGGGCAGUGAAAGAAUAGUUGGGGUUGGAAGGGCCUCUGGAGAUCAACCAAAAAAAUGUCCUGGUCUGGCACAAUCACCUCACCUCAGAAUGUCUGGGCUUUGGGAGGUGAAACCUAAUUUGUGUCCUUGAAGAGAUGGAUGGAGUUUUGUCGAGGUUUGAGUUUGAAGGAAAUAGAACUGUGAGUGUUUGUGAAAAACACGUUCACUCUCCUGUGAAAAUUUUAAAAGUUUAAUAAAGGACAAUAGGAGACAAGGACCACAGAGCAAAGGUUAUUAUGAUCAGGUGCAUCUUGGCACUGGGCCAAGACCACACUGUUACCUUUGGGAAUACCCCAUAAAUACCUUUUCCCUUACAUCAGCCUGUUGCAUAUUCAUAGACCCUCAUGCAUAUCCAUAAACUAGUUGACAUUUUCCAGGAACUAUUUUGUAUGGGCCCUUCUUGGGUUCACCUUUUUAGAGCAUGUGUGUUUCUUGGCUGUGGUUUUGGCUCCUUCUCCUUAUCACUUCCAGUUUGGGCCUUGGUCCAUACGUUCUUCAGCUGAUGAGUGCUGAUAGUUGGCAUAUCUGUAGCAGGUGUCCUCAUCCUGUGUUCAUUGAGUGUAUCCCAUCCAAGCAGGCAUUUUAACACAAGCAUAGCUAUUUUACUACUAUGUCUAAGCUUAAUUAACAGUAGAAAUACAAAUGAUAUCUUUGUAACAAAGUUACUUUAACAUCACGCAUAUAAACCCCAUUUUAAUAUUUGCAAAAAGCCAAUAUUAUAAUAUGUAUCUAUAACAGUCUUGCAUUGCUCUCAGCUGCUUUUUGUGUUUCUCAGCCCUGUGGGAUGUGGCAGGACAGGUGAGGUUCCUCCUUGCCCACCUCUCCCACCUGCUGAGUCCUUCUGAAAGGCUGCCAAGGGAGCAACACACUUCACUCCCCUCUUCCCUCCAGGAACUCUCCCAUCAUGGAAGGCAAUUAGAUCGGUUCUGUGAUGUAAUUAUACGGAGUGCAGUGGGGAACCUUCUCCCUGCCUUCCGGUUUAUCUCAUGCACCUCUUCCUGCUUUAUUCUCUGUUGCUCUGUCCUGCUCCCCCUGCUGUGAGUGUUUGGGGCGGGGGGGGGAAGUUGGCAGGAGACAAAGACUACUCACCCCUGAAGUGGCUGCUGGAACCCGGGCUGGCUCUCAGAACUCCGGUGCCGCGCCAGGAGUGGGGAACUGCCUGGGGAUGGGGAUUUAGCAGAGGCAGAACUUUUAGAGCCACUUGCUCUCAUGUGCCAGACACAAGCCACGACAGGGACCAGGCAGAGGAGAAAGGACAAGGCUCUCCAUCUUGAGGUUCCACAAGGAACAGUUUAUUCCAGGUGAAGGGAGCAGCCGAAAAGCCCCCAGCUGUAUUGUCCAAGGGGCUUUGUACAGAUACAAGUCACGGGGUGGACACAAACAAUGAACCAACAGGGAAUCCUCAGGGGAUGAGUGAGGGGAUUCCAUCGAGUGUCUGGGGCCAGUUGGGGUAGGAGGGUGGAGAGGAUGGGUCACAGGGGCCAGUGGGGCUUCCAGGAGGAGGGGAAUUCCAAAGGGGUAGUGCAGUCAGGGAUUUAAGUGGCAGGAAAGGUUCGGGAAUCAAGGGCUGGGUUGCCUUGACAGGCAAGGAGAGAGCUGGAACAAAGGGCAGGGAAUGGCAUGAGGGACAGCUUUGAGGGAGGGUAAAACCCAGGGGUAAACCAGCUUGGGGAGAACAUGGGGGUACAACAGAACAAACCACUUAACAAGGAAUCAAAAAAUUCAAACUACAACAACCCCAAUGUUCAUGUGCCAACAGAGAGCUUUUAUUUCAUAAGUCCUUGCUUAUAUAGGGCAUUUGAAAAACCUCAUCUGCAUACUUUCAUAGGUCAGAACUCUACUCCCCUUCCUGGCCAGGGAAAUGCCUGCAGCCUUGGGAGAGAUGCGACUGGGCGAGGCCCCUGUCAGUCAAACCAGAGGCUGGUUGGUUUGCCUAUCACAGACCAGCUAAUAUAGGGUAACACUGUGCUAUCAUUCAUCCUUGUGCCAUCUCUCCUCUCUGUAUCCCUCUGCUCUGUUUCCUGUGCUCUCAUUCCUCCCUGUAACUGGCAGAACAAACUUUCCCCCAAUUGUCCAUAUGCCAUCGUCACUUGUGAGUUGCUCCUGCUUUCACAGAAUCACAAAAUCAGUUUGGUUGGAAAGGUCCAACCUUCCUGCUCAGGCAGCAUCAUCCUGGGGCACAUGGCACAGGAUUGUGUCCACUCCUACAGUUUGCUGUAGAUCCAGACGAGGUUCAGUGUAAACAAACCAUGUGGUGGAAGUUCCUACUGAGGUGCCAUCACCCAACUCAUUGGCAGUGAUGUCAUGGAAAGGAGAACAAAGAGUGGACAAUUUGGUUACCAAACUCUGGCAAUAUGAAGAAAGUAUCUUUUUCACCCUAUGAGCCUGCAUCUUGUCUGUGGAAAAGACCUCCAGCAGCUGAAAGAAGUGCCCUAUGCCCCACUAGCAUAGACUGGAGUCUAUCUGGGGCCAGUACCCCCUGCUCAAGAGAGAGGGGCCACCACUAGGUAACCUGUGGUUUUACUUGGCUGACCAUGGUGAAGCCAUACAGAAGUGGGAUGGAAAACCCACCUCUGCCUUGGCAGCACAGGUAUGUGAGUUGAGAGGAAAAAUUAACCACCGCAGAAAACUCUUCAAGGAAAAAUGCCACUCAGUUUCCACUGGCCAAGUCCUCAGGCAGUAUUGAAGGGCUGAUGUUACUUCUGACCCUCUGGAAGGGACCUCCAGGUCAUAUUUACAAGAAGCGAGCAAUGAGUACCAUGAUCAGAGCUAGAGGGGCCCUGGCUCUAGCCAGAUGUGAGAAAAGGACAGUGGGGUCUGUUGGACUGUGUGGAUCCAUGGCCUGGCACAGCAGAGCCACAGGAGCACAAGGCUUUAGUUGACACGGGUGCACAAUGUACCCUGAUGCCAUCAUGCAGGGGCAGAAUCCAUCUCUGUUUCUGGGAUGACAGGGGAUCCCAUCAGGGACUAUACUGGAAGCUGAAGUGCUGCUGACUGGGCAUGAGUGGCAGAAAAAUGCCAUUGUCGCUGGCCUAGAGGCUUCGUGUAUCCUUGGCCCAGAUAACCUCAGGAGAGGUAUUUCAAGGACCCAAAAGGACACCAUUGGGCUUUGGGAGAGGUGCUGUGGAGACAGAAGAAAUUAGGACAGCUGAAUCCCUUACUUGGUCUUUCAGAGGACCCUUUUGCUGUGGGGCUGCUGAGGUAUUUGAAGAACAGCAGGUACUGAUGGCCAGUACACAGUGACACAGUGUCCCAUUGGCAACAUGGCACCAACUGGGACUUCAGGACCCCAUCCAUGAGGUGAUCCGUGAGCUGGAGAGCUGGGCGUGCUCAGCAAGAGUCGCUCACCCCGUAAUAGCUCCACAUGGCCCCUGCCUGAGUCCUGUGGAGAGUGGACACUGACAGUGGACUGUCAUGGCCUGAAUGAAGUCACACCAUCACUGACUGCUGCCGUGGUGGACAUGUUGGAACUUCAGGGGAAGGGAAAAUGGAAGUUUCUUUUCAAGAGAUUCUGUUCCCUGGGCAAGACCUGACGAGCUUGACAUCUCAAUGGAGUAGGAGUUCCCAGAGGAUACUCAAGAGAGAAGUGACCGUCAACACCCGAACAUCCUUCCUGAUGUGUCAGAGACGCUUGGUCUGAGAAAGGAGCAAGAGGAGAAUGAAGAAUGAGGACCUAAUUAGCAUUGGAGGCAAAGGGAUCAAUAACUAAUAGGAAACCAGAUACAAAUAACUGUGUAACUUGUGGCCAAUGAACAAUGAACCAAUGAUUUUUUUCUGGGUUUUGACUGUGUAAGUACGUGAAAAACCUAAUAAAGAACCGUGUAUGAUUGAA